rfam:Musca domestica strain aabys unplaced genomic scaffold Scaffold19478, whole genome shotgun sequence.
CCUUCGAUAGCUCAGUUGGUAGAGCGGUGGAGUGUAGCAGAAAAUAUAAGAGAAUUGAAAUCCAUAGGUCGCUGGUUCAAAUCCGGCUCGAAGGA